rnacentral:rRNA from 1 species
GGGUGCGAUCAUACCAGCGUUAAUGCGCCGGAUCCCAUCAGAACUCCGCAGUUAAGCGCGCUUGGGCUAGAGUAGUACUGGGAUGGGUGACCUCCCGGGAAGUCCUAGUGUUGCACCCUG